UAUCUGUCGGAGGGCAAGUAAGUCCCCUUUAUAUACACGUUUGUAUCCUCUCCUUGUAACCAGAAACGUUGUCAAUCUCAAUCGCCUUCGCCAUUUCUCUCUGAACCACGAAAAACAAAUUCUAAUCGCAAUCUCGAAUCCGAAGAAAGGGGAACAAUCAUGUCGCACUGUUUGGUUCUGAAGCCGUCGUGUAUGGGCUGCGGAUCGCAGUCCGACCUCUACGGAAGCUCCUGCAGGCACAUGACGCUAUGCCUAAAGUGCGGCAAAACCAUGGCUGAGAACAAAGCCAAGUGUCUCGAUUGCGGAACCGUCCUCACGAGACUGAUUCGGGAGUAUAACGUCCGUGCGGCGACACCGACGGAUAAGAACUACUUCAUUGGUAGGUUCGUGAGUGGUCUUCCCAAUUUCAAGAAAGGCUCUUCUGAGAAUAAAUGGUCUCUUCGUAAAGAUAUACCUCAAGGUCGUCAGUUCACUGAUGCUCAACGGGUAAAAUGUUG